rnacentral:rRNA from 1 species
ACACAUGCAAGUCGAGGGGCAGCGGGAUUGAAGCUUGCUUCAAUUGCCGGCGACCGGCGCACGGGUGAGUAACGCGUAUCCAACCUUCCGUACACUCAGGGAUAGCCUUUCGAAAGAAGGAUUAAUACCUGAUGGUAUGAUGAGAUUGCAUGAUAGCAUCAUUAAAGAUUUAUCGGUGUACGAUGGGGAUGCGUUCCAUUAGGUAGUAGGCGGGGUAACGGCCCACCUAGCCAACGAUGGAUAGGGGUUCUGAGAGGAAGGUCCCCCACAUUGGAACUGAGACACGGUCCAAACUCCUACGGGAGGCAGCAGUGAGGAAUAUUGGUCAAUGGACGAGAGUCUGAACCAGCCAAGUAGCGUGAAGGAUGAAGGUCUUACGGAUUGUAAACUUCUUUUAUAAGGGAAUAAAACCUCCCACGUGUGGGAGCUUGUAUGUACCUUAUGAAUAAGCAUCGGCUAACUCCGUGCCAGCAGCCGCGGUAAUACGGAGGAUGCGAGCGUUAUCCGGAUUUAUUGGGUUUAAAGGGAGCGCAGACGGGUCGUUAAGUCAGCUGUGAAAGUUUGGGGCUCGACCUUAAAAUUGCAGUUGAUACUGGCGUCCUUGAGUGCGGUUGAGGUGUGCGGAAUUCGUGGUGUAGCGGUGAAAUGCUUAGAUAUCACGAAGAACUCCGAUUGCGAAGGCAGCACACUAAGCCGUAACUGACGUUCAUGCUCGAAAGUGUGGGUAUCAAACAGGAUUAGAUACCCUGGUAGUCCACACGGUAAACGAUGGAUACUCGCUGUUGGCGAUAUACGGUCAGCGGCUUAGCGAA